UCCUAGAGAACACCAGAAAAUCUGAAAGAUCAAGGGUAGGAUGAUACGCAAAUUAAGCUCCAUCGCUUUUGAGCCGAGUUUCUUGGGUUAUUGAGUGUUUGACAGCUGCUGUUAUUACGUGGAGCCACCAGUGUAACGCGCGUUUUAGCUGUUGUCGUACGUGCACCAAGCUAAACCGUUAAUUUCCAUAAGUUUGUGCCUGACCGUUGCCCUCCUCUGCGUGCUAAAGCAAACCGCGUGUUUCGUGAUACCGGAAACGGUGGAUAAAUAUAUAUACUACCGCUUAAUAAGACGGUACUGCGCAGCGGCACAUUCUUAUGCAAGCGAGGUGUCGGGAUUUAAGCAACAGAACUUUCGCCGCGCACAGUCUAUUCUACAUAGGUGGAAACUGCACACGAGAACCUAUACGAAAAUAUCAAACAAAUUUUGAGUUCUGGUGUUGCGAAAAUAGUCCUUAACAGAACAGGCAUGCUUCCAGUCUGCAGGCUGAUUGUUGAAAUUGAUAGACAAAGCGAUGGACAAAGAUGACACAGGGAGAAUUGAGCGAUCCUAUUGGUUGGAAUGGUUGGUUCCUUUAGACUAGAAAGAAAAUGAUGGACUGACUAAAGGGUCUCCCGUGGGCUGCCGUUAGUUAGUCUAUUACCUACUUCUUUUGUCCAUUGCAACCACCCGCUUCCACCAAUAGGAUCCCUCCUUAUCCUUUUUGGUUGUUUUUUGUAUAUAUAUUCGUCUAUCAAUUUCAACAAUCAGCCCGCUGUCGAAAACUAUUUAAUCGUUAUAUUGUACCUGCGAUCAGCUUGAGAGAAAUGUGAAAAUCGUAAACGGCUCCGUAAUUGUGCAAUGAGGCCAAAGUCUGCAAAGAGGUGUUAAAAAAUUAUCCGUCCCCUCCUUUCGGGGAAAGAAAGACUGAACGCCAUUCGAAGGUUGCAAAUUAAUUCAAAACAUUCAAUUUUACAUGAGAAAAUGCUUGCGCAGUAUAGAAAAGUAAAAUAGAGACUGAAGAAACAUAGAGGAGUUAAGAUUUAAAAGAAUAGGUUAGUGUUGAAAAACAUAAUGCACCUUAGUAAAAUAAAAGGUGGUACUAGACGAGGAGUUUCUCAAUUUACCAGUGCUACUGAUGAAAGGGCUGCGAUAGCCUCGAAACGCGUCUAGCGUCACGGUUUAUUUUAUUGAGGUAAAUGGAGUUUUCCAAUACAAAACCCUUUUUUUUUAAAAUGCUUGUGCAAUUGGACGUAUUUCUUCCAAACGAAACUAUGUGCAUCAAGACAUGAGCCCUGAGACCCAUAAAAAUAUAUAUUUUGUACUUAUAUAUUAUAUACAGGGUGUCCCAAAAGUCCGUACCCCCCCUCGUAACUUUUGAACAGUUAGAGAUAGAAAAACGAAAUUUUUGGGAAUGUUUCUAUCUUAAAGGAGAC
rnacentral:lncRNA from 1 species